rnacentral:rRNA from 1 species
UACGUAGGGCGCGAGCGUUGUCCGGAAUCAUUGGGCGUAAAGAGCGCGUAGGCGGUCCGGUAAGUCCGCUCUGAAAGUCCGGGGCUCAACCCCGGGAGGCGGGCGGAUACUGUCGGGCUAGAGUCCGGAAGAGGCGAGUGGAAUUCCUGGUGUAGCGGUGAAAUGCGCAGAUAUCAGGAGGAACACCGAUGGCGAAGGCAGCUCGCUGGGACGGUACUGACGCUGAGGCGCGAAAGCGUGGGGAGCAAACAGG